rnacentral:rRNA from 1 species
UACGUAGGGUGCGAGCGUUGUCCGGAAUUAUUGGGCGUAAAGAGCUUGUAGGCGGUUUGUCGCGUCUGCUGUGAAAAUCCGGGGCUCAACCCCGGACUUGCAGUGGGUACGGGCAGACUAGAGUGUGGUAGGGGAGACUGGAAUUCCUGGUGUAGCGGUGAAAUGCGCAGAUAUCAGGAGUAACACCGAUGGCGAAGGCAGGUCUCUGGGCCACUACUGACGCUGAGAAGCGAAAGCAUGGGGAGCGAACAGGAUUAGAUACCCCGGUA